UGGCGGAAUGCUUUACACAUGCAAGUCGAACGGCAGCACGGACUUCGGUCUGGUGGCGAGUGGCGAACGGGUGAGUAACAUAUCGGAACGUAUCCAAUAAUGGGGGAUAACUAAUCGAAAGGUUGGCUAAUACCGCAUACGCCCUACGGGGGAAAGCAGGGGAUCUUCGGACCUUGCGUUAAUGGAGCGGCUGAUAUCUGAUUAGCUAGUUGGUGAGGUAAAGGCUCACCAAGGCGACGAUCAGUAGCUGGUCUGAGAGGACGACCAGCCACACUGGAACUGAGACACGGUCCAGACUCCUACGGGAGGCAGCAGUGGGGAAUUUUGGACAAUGGGCGCAAGCCUGAUCCAGCCAUUCCGCGUGAGUGAAGAAGGCCUUCGGGUUGUAAAGCUCUUUCGCAAGGGAAGAAAACUUACUUUCUAAUAAAGAGUGAGGUUGACGGUACCUUGAUAAGAAGCACCGGCUAACUACGUGCCAGCAGCCGCGGUAAUACGUAGGGUGCGAGCGUUAAUCGGAAUUACUGGGCGUAAAGCGUGCGCAGGCGGCUUUGUAAGUCAGAUGUGAAAUCCCCGAGCUCAACUUGGGAACUGCGUUUGAAACUACAAGGCUAGAAUAUGUCAGAGGGGGGUAGAAUUCCACGUGUAGCAGUGAAAUGCGUAGAGAUGUGGAGGAAUACCAAUGGCGAAGGCAGCCCCCUGGGAUAAUAUUGACGCUCAUGCACGAAAGCGUGGGGAGCAAACAGGAUUAGAUACCCUGGUAGUCCACGCCCUAAACGAUGUCUACUAGUUGUUGGUGGAGUAAAAUCCAUGAGUAACGCAGCUAACGCGUGAAGUAGACCGCCUGGGGAGUACGGU
rnacentral:rRNA from 1 species